GGGGGCGUAGUUCAAUUGGUAGAGCGUCUGACUCCAGAUCAGAAGGUUGCGUGUUCAAGUCACGUAGUCCUCA
rnacentral:tRNA from 1 species